UACGGGGGGAGCAAGGCGUUGUUCGGAUUUACUGGGCGUAAAGGGCGCGUAGGCGGUCAGCACAAGUCAGUUGUGAAAUCUCCGGGCUUAACUCGGAAAGGUCAACUGAUACUGUGCGACUAGAGUGCGGAAGGGGCUACUGGAAUUCUCGGUGUAGCGGUGAAAUGCGUAGAUAUCGAGAGGAACACCUGCGGCGAAGGCGGGUAGCUGGGCCGACACUGACGCUGAGGCGCGAAAGCCAGGGGAGCGAACGGG
rnacentral:rRNA from 1 species